rnacentral:rRNA from 1 species
GAUGAACGCUGGCGGCGUGCCUAAUACAUGCAAGUCGAGCGAACAGAUAAGGAGCUUGCUCCUUUGAAGUUAGCGGCGGACGGGUGAGCAACACGUGGGUAACCUACCUAUAAGACUGGGAUAACUUCGGGAAACCGGAGCUAAUACCGGAUAACAUUUAGAACCGCAUGGUUCUAAAGUGAAAGAUGGUUUUGCUAUCACUUAUAGAUGGACCCGCGCCGUAUUAGCUAGUUGGUAAGGUAACGGCUUACCAAGGCGACGAUACGUAGCCGACCUGAGAGGGUGAUCGGCCACACUGGAACUGAGACACGGUCCAGACUCCUACGGGAGGCAGCAGUAGGGAAUCUUCCGCAAUGGGCGAAAGCCUGACGGAGCAACGCCGCGUGAGUGAUGAAGGGUUUCGGCUCGUAAAACUCUGUUAUUAGGGAAGAACAAAUGUGUAAGUAACUGUGCACAUCUUGACGGUACCUAAUCAGAAAGCCACGGCUAACUACGUG